rnacentral:rRNA from 1 species
CCUACGGGUGGCAGCAGUGAGGAAUAUUGGUCAAUGGACGCUAGUCUGAACCAGCCAAGUAGCGUGAAGGAUGACUGCCCUAUGGGUUGUAAACUUCUUUUAUAUGGGAAUAAAAUGUUCCACGUAUGGUGUUUUGUAUGUACCAUAUGAAUAAGGAUCGGCUAACUCCGUGCCAGCAGCCGCGGUAAUACGGAGGAUCCGAGCGUUAUCCGGAUUUAUUGGGUUUAAAGGGAGCGUAGGUGGAUUGUUAAGUCAGUUGUGAAAGUUUGCGGCUCAACCGUAAAAUUGCAGUUGAAACUGGCAGCCUUGAGUACAGUAGAGGUGGGCGGAAUUCGUGGUGUAGCGGUGAAAUGCUUAGAUAUCACGAAGAACUCCGAUUGCGAAGGCAGUUCACUGGACUGCAACUGACACUGAGGCUCGAAAGUGUGGGUAUCAAACAGGAUUAGAUACCCGGGUAGUC